UACGGAGGGGGCUAGCGUUGUUCGGAAUUACUGGGCGUAAAGCGCACGUAGGCGGCUUUGCAAGUCAGAGGUGAAAGCCCGGGGCUCAACCCCGGAACUGCCCUUGAAACUGGAGAGCUAGAAUCUUGGAGAGGCGAGUGGAAUUCCGAGUGUAGAGGUGAAAUUCGUAGAUAUUCGGAAGAACACCAGUGGCGAAGGCGACUCGCUGGACAAGUAUUGACGCUGAGGUGCGAAAGCGUGGGGAGCAAACAGG
rnacentral:rRNA from 1 species